AGCAGCCGCGGUAAUUCCAGCUCCAAUAGCGUAUAUUAAAGUUGUUGCAGUUAAAAAGCUCGUAGUUGAAUUUCGGGAUCAGUUGGUCGGUCGUGCCUCGGUACGUACUGGUCAAAUUGAUUCCUACCUUCUGACGAACCACGAUGUCAUUAAUUUGGUGUCGCGGGAAAUCAGGACUGUUACUUUGAAAAAUUAGAGUGUUUAAAGCAGGCUCGCGCUUGAAUACAUUAGCAUGGAAUAAUGAAAUAGGACGUUUGAUUCUAUUUUGUUGGUUUCUAGGAUCGACGUAAUGAUUAAUAGGGAUAGUUGGGGGCAUUAGUAUUCAAUUGUCAGAGGUGAAAUUCUUGGAUUUAUUGAAGACUAACUACUGCGAAAGCAUUUGCCAAGGAUGUUUUCAUUAAUCAAGAACGAAAGUUAGGGGAUCGAAGACGAUCAGAUACCGUCGUAGUCUUAACCAUAAACUAUGCCGACUAGGGAUCGGAUGAUGU
rnacentral:rRNA from 1 species